rnacentral:rRNA from 1 species
UACGUAGGGUGCGAGCGUUAAUCGGAAUUACUGGGCGUAAAGCGUGCGCAGGCGGUUUUGUAAGCCCGGUGUGAAAUCCCCGGGCUCAACCUGGGAAUGGCAUUUGGGACUGCAAGGCUGGAGUGCGGCAGAGGAGACUGGAAUUCCUGGUGUAGCAGUGGAAUGCGCAGAUAUCAGGAGGAACACCGAUGGCGAAGGCAGGUCACUGGGCCGCAACUGACGCUGAGGAGCGAAAGCAUGGGGAGCGAACAGG